CAGAAACCCACGCGAGAACGGGCUCUCCUCUCUCUCCCUCGCCUCCCGAUCCCAGCCACCAGGAGCCCCACCCCACGCGGCGGUCGAUCCGGAGGAGCUCGCGGCCAGGUUGGCGGCCGGGGGCCCCGGCGGCGUCGGCGGACCAAGAGGAGGAGGAGGACGCGGGCCUGGGCGGACCGGGAGGAGGAGGAGGACGCGGGGAAGGGGAGGAGGAGGACGCGGGGAAGGGGAGGAGGAGGACGCGGGCCGAGGCUGACCGGGAGGAGGAGGAGGAGGCGGGCCUGGGCGCCGUGCCGGUGGUCGUCGCGGUGCUAGCCAAGCCCGGCGCGUCACCGGCCGCGCUCGUCCAUGCGGUGGCCGCGGCGGGGAGCUUUGCUUGCGGCAUAGAGGAUGGCGCGUGGGCCGUGCUUGCUGCUGGCGCCGUGGGGCACCUUACGCGGCUCCCCGCCCACCCGCACGGCAAGGUCUGCUUCCUUCACUUGCUUAUUUCCUUCAUUCUGUAUGCCUGCUCGGUUUGGGGGCUCCAAAACUCUAUCGGGUUGAAAAUUGAACUAUAGAUGAAAAAGAUACAAUGCUUACUUAAUGAAUGUUUUGUUUGGGAAUUAGUCUGUACAUUGGCCACAACCGGAUCCACAGGGAAGAGGUGCUCGAGAUGGAGGAGGACAUCCAGAUUGAGGUGCGAGGUCGAUACCAACGCGGUCCUGGGAGGCGUGCACGAGAUCGAAGGCAGGGAGCUCCGGAAGGCAGACGGCGGCAUCACCUCACUCUCUAAAUUUACACUUAUCUAGAAUCCAGUGCUUCAUGACCAUGGCAAUAUUGGCUUGACAAAAACGAUAUAUAAAGUAGUAUCUAUCUUCUUUUCAGUUGUAUGAAUUUGGAACUGAGUUCUAAUGGCAUACAGUUGUAUGACGUGCUUUGAUUAUGCUCAAAACUGUUCAUUCCAAUGCUUGAUCGGGGUGCAGAUUAUAUAUCAACAACCAGGAACUACCAUACAAUCUUCAUAUCACACAUUCCACCUAUGAGUAUGAAGAUCCGUGACAAGGCAAGAGCAAUCAUGAGGCCUUAUAUGCUUAUCUAUCUCAUCCAUUGAUGAUCUCUUUCAAGGAACAGAAGGACUUCUUGUUCAUUUAGAGAGGAUCAAUCUUUUGAUUUUGGUACUUAAUAAACUAAAUCUUGAGCAUUGGAGGAGGUAGCCCCUGGACUGGUGAAGAGGCAAAUGGGGACACGAGGAGGUUCAUGGUGGUUCUAGGCUCAUCUCUUCGGUGAGCAGCAGUGCGCUACAUUGGACAGUUACCAAGGCUGGACGGAGGUGUGCCCGUGCGGCCGGACGGUGUCGUCCUGGUCGAGCAGAUCACCGUACCAAGGCUGCCUGCCGGACUCCAAUUCCCUACCGCUGUCAAGCUCUAGAUCAAGCUCCACAUGGACCUGUCUAUCCGUGCGAUACUAUGUUUCCUCUGGUGGCCGUCUGUUCCGCUUGGCGUUUCGUCUGGAUCUGAGAGGAGAAGGCCUCAAGCAGGGAGAUGAGGAGGUUCAUGGAACCAUGGAAGUUUUCAGAUGAGAUUAGUUGAAAGAAAAGGGUAAUUUCCCAUGCUGCCAUGCGAGAGUCAGAGGUGGGUGAGUUCCCUGAUCCCCGGCUGUAGCAACAUUGGCCACCACUCUGCGCAUCUGUGCCGCCAAAAUCAGAUUUCAUGUGUAUCAAGCAGAUUGUGAAGAAAAUGUACCUGAAGAUGGUUCCUCAAUAUGAGAAUCCGAUUAACAUUGUCUUCAAGAAUUAAGGCAAAUUGUUUGUAUGUCAUUAAUCCUCUCCUGUGAAGAUUCAGAAUCAUAAAAGAUAGUAUUCAGCUAUUUUGUAGGUACAGAUGGACAGGCGUCAUGUUCAGCAAUUUGACACACACGGUGGAGAUUUAAUGGACUAACUACUUUUUUUAGAGGAAGAAGUGGGCACAAGUAGACUGGAAAAACACAAAACAGCGGGAGAUGUCAUGUUCAGCAGCGACAACACCAUUGCUCUUCAUGUUUUAAGUUAAAGCUGUAUUACUUCAGAAUGAUUAGUCAAAGAUCGGUGAUUGUUAGAGGCCUGAAGUUAACGUGAGAGGAAGGAGCAUGAGUGGUCUUUUCAAUACAGUAAUUUUUCCUUACUGGCAUAGGUUGUCAAGGAUUGUUCUAUCCGUCUCAGAGAAAUGUGUUCAAAGUGAAUUCUUCUCAGGACUGAGACUUAUUUUACAGUAAUAACUUACAUAAGCCCUUCGGUUGAUCGGUUCAA